GAUGAACGCUGGCGGCGUGCCUAACACAUGCGAGUCGAGCGGCAGCGAGGGGUGCUUGCACCCUGUCGGCGAGCGGCGGACGGCUGAGUAACGCGUGGGAACGUGCCCCAAAGUGAGGAAUAACUGCCCGAAAGGGUAGCUAAUACCGCAUAUUAUCUUCGGAUCAAAGGAUUUAUCCGCUUUGGGAGCGGCUCGCGUCGGAUUAGGUAGUUGGUGAGGUAAUGGCUCACCAAGCCGACGAUCCGUAGCUGGUCUGAGAGGAUGACCAGCCAGACUGGAACUGAGACACGGUCCAGACUCCUACGGGAGGCAGCAGUGAGGAAUCUUCCACAAUGGGCGAAAGCCUGAUGGAGCAACGCCGCGUGCAGGACGAAGGCCUUCGGGUUGUAAACUGCUUUUAUAUGUGAGGAAUAUGACGGUAACUUAUGAAUAAGGAUCGGCUAACUACGUG
rnacentral:rRNA from 1 species